UAUUGCACUCGUCCCGGCCUCC
rnacentral:miRNA from 45 species